rnacentral:misc_RNA from 1 species
GAUGAAGAACGUAGCGAAAUGCGAUAAGUAGUGUGAAUUGCAGAAUUCAGUGAAUCAUCAAAUCUUUGAACGCACAUUGCGCCCCAUGGUAUUCCGUGGGGCAUGCCUGUUCGAGCGUCAUUUACCCCCUCAAGCUCCGCUUGGUGUUGGGCGUCUGUCCCGCUUCGCGCGCGGACUCGCCCCAAAGGUAUUGGCAGCGGUCGUGCCAGCUUCUCGCGCAGCACAUUGCGCUUCUCGAGGCACCGGUGGGCCCGCGUCCAUCAAGCUCACCCCCCCAGUUUGACCUCGGAUCAGGUAGGGAUACCCGCUGAACUUAAGCAUAUCAAUAAGCGGAGGA